UGGGGAAUAUUGCACAAUGGGGGAAACCCUGAUGCAGCGACGCCGCGUGAGCGAAGAAGUAUUUCGGUAUGUAAAGCUCUAUCAGCAGGGAAGAUAAUGACGGUACCUGACUAAGAAGCUCCGGCUAAAUACGUGCCAGCAGCCGCGGUAAUACGUAUGGAGCAAGCGUUAUCCGGAUUUACUGGGUGUAAAGGGAGCGUAGGCGGCAUGGCAAGUCUGAUGUGAAAUCCCGGGGCUCAACCCCGGAGCUGCAUUGGAAACUGUCAGGCUGGAGUGUCGGAGAGGUAAGUGGAAUUCCUAGUGUAGCGGUGAAAUGCGUAGAUAUUAGGAGGAACACCAGUGGCGAAGGCGGCUUACUGGACGACAACUGACGCUGAGGCUCGAAAGCGUGGGGAGCAAACAGGAUUAGAUACCC
rnacentral:rRNA from 1 species